AUUGAACGCUGGCGGCAGGCCUAACACAUGCAAGUCGAACGAGUGGCGGACGGGUGAGUAAUGUCUGGGAAACUGCCCGAUGGAGGGGGAUAACUACUGGAAACGGUAGCUAAUAACGCAUACCAUCGGAUGUGCCCAGAUGGGAUUAGCUAGUGGGGGGGGUAACGGCUCACCAAGGCGACGAUCCCUAGCUGGGCUGAGAGGAUGACCGCCCCAACUGGAACUGAGACACGGUCCAGACUCCUACGGGAGGCAGCAGUGGGGAAUAUUGCACAAUGGGCGCAAGCUUGAGACAGCCAGGCCGCGGGUAUGAAGAAGGCUUUCGGGUUGUAAAGUACUUUCAGCGAGGAGGCGUUACUCGCAGAAGAAGCCCCGGCUAACUCCGUGCCAGCAGCCGCGGUAAUAC
rnacentral:rRNA from 1 species